rnacentral:lncRNA from 1 species
GAAAAGGUGGAGGGAUAGGAGGUGGAGUUGGUGGUGGAAAAGGUGGAGGCAUAGGAGGUGGAGCUGGUGGUGGUGCUGGUGGAGGUAUAGGAGGUGGAGCGGGUGGUGGAAAAGGUGGAGGCAUAGGAGCAGGUGGUGGUGCCGGUGGUGGCGCUGGAGGUGGUGCUGGUGUUGGUUUUGGAGGUGGAAAAGGUGGAGGGAUAGGAGGUGGAGCUGGUGGUGGAAAAGGUGGAGGCAUAGGAGCAGGUGGUGGUGCCGGUGGUAGAACUGGAGGCAGUGCUGGUGGUGGUUUUGGAGGUGGAAAAGGUGGAGGGAUAGGAGGUGGUGUUGGAGGUGGAGCUGCUGGUGGUGGUGGUGGUGGUGGUGGAAAAGGUGGAGGGAUAGGAGGUGGAGCUGGAGGUGGUGCUGGUGGUGGUGUUGGAGGUGGUGCUGGCGGUGGUUUUGGCGGUGGAAAAGGCGGAGGUAUAGGAGGUGGAGUUGGCGGUGGUGGAGGAGGUGUUGGUGGUGGCGGUAGCUUUGGAGGUGGUGCUGGUAGAGGAAUUGGAGGGGGAUUUUAGUUGCAAAAUAUGCAUGCUUAAAAAUAUUAUAACUUGUAAGCGUGCAUGCUAAUGCAUGGUGUGGUUGACUAUGACGUAUCAUACUGCCAUACUAAUAUUACUGAGUAAAAUAA